rnacentral:rRNA from 1 species
UACGAAGGGGGCUAGCGUUGCUCGGAAUCACUGGGCGUAAAGCGCACGUUGGCGGCUUUCUAAGUCAGGGGUGAAAUCCUGGAGCUCAACUCCAGAACUGCCUUUGAUACUGGAGAGCUCGAGUCCGGAAGAGGUGAGUGGAACUCCGAGUGUAGAGGUGAAAUUCGUAGAUAUUCGGAAGAACACCAGUGGCGAAGGCGGCUCACUGGUCCGGUACUGACGCUGAGGCGCGAAAGCGUGGGGAGCAAACAGG